rfam:Gossypium hirsutum cultivar TM-1 chromosome 6, whole genome shotgun sequence
AAACCAUGGUGUGGGCAUCUUUAGAUAAACAUCUUGAAACACUCUCAAGCUUCGUGAAAGCUUUCUCCUUCUAGCUGCUUAAAGGGGAACAAUCGAAGACGAGUAG